GACGAACGCUGGCGGCGUGCUUAACACAUGCAAGUCGAACGGAAAGGCCCUGCUUUUGUGGGGUGCUCGAGUGGCGAACGGGUGAGUAACACGUGAGUAACCUGCCCUUGACUUUGGGAUAACUUCAGGAAACUGGGGCUAAUACCGGAUAGGAGCUCCUGCUGCAUGGUGGGGGUUGGAAAGUUUCGGCGGUUGGGGAUGGACUCGCGGCUUAUCAGCUUGUUGGUGGGGUAGUGGCUUACCAAGGCUUUGACGGGUAGCCGGCCUGAGAGGGUGACCGGCCACAUUGGGACUGAGAUGCGGCCCAGACUCCUACGGGGGGCAGCAGUGGGGAAUAUUGCACAAUGGGCGGAAGCCUGAUGCAGCAGCGCCGCGUGCGGGAUGACGGCCUUCGGGUUGUAAACCGCUUUCGCCUGUGACGAAGCGUGAGUGACGGUAAUGGGUAAAGAAGCACCGGCUAUCUACG
rnacentral:rRNA from 1 species